UUUUAGUCCAGGCAUUCGUAAGGUAUGCACGUAUACUCGAAGGUAAACUCCUGAAAGGAGUGUUUCUGAAUUGAUGUUACAUACAGGUGGAGGACUUAUACUUAUGGUAUUGAAUAUGCGUGUAUUAUGUAUAUGCAGCCACACCUGUUAUAUCUCAUUAUUAUAUAAUGCAAUAUGUUCCGAGAUGGGCGGAGUGCACUCGACACGCCAAUGGCUGGAUGACAUAGCAACGAAAGUAAACACAUAUCAUGAAAAAGGAGAAAGGACAACUCCACUGAACUAUAAUUUAACGUCUAAUGAAUCGUUUUUUAGGUAAAUAUUCAUUACAUUAUAAUCUUUAUAACCUAAAAUGUAUUUUUUAUUUAGACUGUACAGCAGCUAUCUCCCUCGGCGUCAGUGCUGCUAGCGCCCAUUUCAGUAUUAUAGUUCAGUGGACAACUCGCUAUGUCAUCCUUUUCUAAUAUUUUUCUAAUAUUUGUUACUACAUCACUAUUGUGGUUAGAAUAUUACGCCUACCGCCUCAACGCUCUGAUUUAACAGUCCUUUUUAUUUAAGUUCAAAAGUUUACAUAGGGUUUUGGAAAAUGGUACAAGACUUUUUUACUUUUUUACUAAAUCAAUCUGCUCUAUCACUUCACUUAUUUGUACUUACAAUACCAAAUGCUCUGUAUAUACGUGUAUAACAUAUUUGCUUGUUCUUUCCUGUUCUUAUAUAAAAUCUUCCGACGAGAUAAUUUUUAAAUACGAUAUUCUAAUACGAUGACAUCGUACUUUGUAAACCUUUAUAUGUCAUAAUUUAACGAUAAACGUAACUUCGCAAAAUAAUAGUAAACGCGAUAGCCAAUGAAAAGCUAUACAUGCUUUUCAUUUUUAGCAAACCUGUUUGAACUUGAGCCGUAAUGGUUUUCCACACGCGCAUUUAUUCAAGUUGGCGUCAUCAGACUACCACUUAUUUCAAUCAAUGCAAUACUUUUUAGCUGGAAAAUACUUUCGGGAUAUGACUGAAAUACGAAAAAAUUUUUUGUACAGAAAUUUAAAAUUUAUCGAAGAGACAGCAGAAAAUUUGGAAAAAACCUAAAAAGUUCAAUUAUUUUUAUUACUGACUGAAUUCUAUUGCAUAUAAUAUGCACUUAAAGCGAAAGAGUGCAAAUGACUAAUACUUUUACAUACUGUAGGGAAGGGAAAGCCUAGUCGAUAGAGUUGGCCUUUAAGUCGUUCGCCUUUGAUCGAUAAUUAAUUCGUUGCUUGGAAAUAACGUCAUUUUGUCAAAGCAUUUAAUCAAUAAUUAGUUAGUUACUUGGAGAUGGUGUUUAUCUGGAUACAUGUAACUUGGUGAUGAAAAAAAGAGAGAUGGGUUCUCAAAAAAGGACGGUCAAAUUUUGACAGAGCGCGUAAGGAAAAGAUCGGUCGUUUCUGCGAUUUCUGUACACACUUGUGUUUUUCCAGCCAAUAAUGUUGUCACCCAGUAACACGACUUAUUAUUUCAUACAAUACUUUAUAAAAAGGAGUAAAAUGCAUUUUUUGUAACGAAUAGAUAGAUUACCAUAGAAUAUUCUUUAUUUAAUUCAUAUAAGUUAAUGUACAUUAUGUAACUUAGCAUGAAUGUAGCACAAUAAAGCGACAAAUGCGAUC
rnacentral:lncRNA from 1 species